GUGGAGCUGCUGUCACUAAUCUGAGGUUCUUGGUGUUUUGUUUUGUAUUGUUUUGGGGUUUGGGGUGGUGUUUUUUUUUUGUUUUGUUUGUUUGUUUUUUUUUUUUUUAAAGUACUUUUCCCCUAAGAUGCAAGCACAGCUCUAUGGGUUGUUUUCUACUCUGCAUCACAAACACCAGCCACAGCUGGUCAAUGAAUCAUGGAUUAGGGUGACCUUAGUUGCCUUCAGCUCUUGUGAGCCGGAAAGAAGCUGCAUGAUACAGGACUUGCUGAGGCAGGUGCAAAACUGUGGGUAUCUCAUGAGCAAAGCCCAAAAUGGCCCAGUAUCUUUGCAAAAGAUGAUGAUGUAAAGCUAACAACAGAGAUUGAAAUCAUGAUUUGGAGGCAGAGGCACUUGCAUUUUGAGUUCUUUUGCUCAUCCACAUCAUGUGUCUGUGAUCAACUGAUCAAGUUGGAGUUAAAUAUCUGCAGGAUUUUGUGAUUUUUAUUGCUGUUUUUUGUUUGUUUGUUUUUUUGACACGGCUGAGUCAAGCUGUUUAUGGUGAACCCCAGAGUGCACAGAGUAAUGGAAGGAACCUCAAAAAUGUUCAGACUUCCUUAACCAGGAAAAACACUGCUAUGGCCUACCAGCUGAUUUUCCUAUCUAAAAGAUGUUGGCAGAGUGUGUCCCUGACUCAUCCUCCUCAGCUUCACCCCAGCAUGUCCACGUCCUUGCUCUUCAAGUAUCACACUGUGCAGGGUGAGAGGAUUUCUUCCACUUCAGUUUUCCUCUGGAUUGCCCAGUUUCUCCAUGUGGCUCUGAGAUUCUUUCCCAAUCUUCCAAAGGUCCCUACACAGGACAGUAAGACAGUACCUUAGAGCUGCCCUCUGUAUUUAAACAUUGCUGAUUGUGUGCCAAGGACCUUGGGCAAGAUGCUGUAAGCUGAAACAAGAAAGAGCUCAGUAAUAAAUAUGUUUUAAAACCUG
rnacentral:lncRNA from 1 species